CUACGGGUCGCUCCAGUGGGGAAUAUUGGACAAUGGGGGAAACCCUGAUCCAGCAAUGCCGCGUGUGUGAAGAAGGCCUGCGGGUUGUAAAGCACUUUCGGUUGAGAGGACUGCUUCUAGCACUAAUAUUGUUGGAAGUUGACGUUACCUUCAGAAGAAGCACCGGCUAACUCCGUGCCAGCAGCCGCGGUAAUACGGAGGGUGCAAGCGUUAAUCGGAAUUACUGGGCGUAAAGCGCGCGUAGGCGGCUAGAUCAGUCGGGUGUGAAAGCCCCGGGCUUAACCUGGGAACUGCAUCCGAUACUGUCUAGCUUGAGUACAGGAGAGGAGAGUGGAAUUCCACAUGUAGCGGUGAAAUGCGUAGAUAUGUGGAGGAACACCAAUGGCGAAGGCAGCUCUCUGGCCUGAUACUGACGCUGAGGCACGAAAGCGUGGGGAGCAAACAGGAUUAGAUACCCGAGUAGUC
rnacentral:rRNA from 1 species